GGCGUAAAGCGCAUGCAGGUGGUUCAAUAAGUUGGAUGUGAAAUCUCCUGGCUCAACUGGGAGAGGGCGUUCAAUACUGUUGGACUAGAGUACUGUAGAGGGGGGUAGAAUUUC
rnacentral:rRNA from 1 species